GGUUCGUGGAAUAAUCUGUCUGCUUAAUUGCGAUAACGAACGAGACCUUAACCUGCUAAAUAUGUUUUGUAACUAACGUUGCAAAAGAUUCUUAGAGGGACUGAUUGCAAAAAGCGAUUGGAAGUUUGAGGCAAUAACAGGU
rnacentral:rRNA from 1 species